CGGACGGGUGAGUAACGCGUGAGAAUCUGGCUCCAGGUCGGGGAUAACAGUUGGAAACGACUGCUAAUACCGGAUGUGCCGAGAGGUGAAAGAUUUAUUGCCUGGAGAUGAGCUCGCGUCUGAUUAGCUAGUUGGUGGUGUAAGGGACCACCAAGGCAUCGAUCAGUAGCUGGUCUGAGAGGAUGAUCAGCCACACUGGGACUGAGACACGGCCCAGACUCCUACGGGAGGCAGCAGUGGGGAAUUUUCCGCAAUGGGCGAAAGCCUGACGGAGCAAUACCGCGUGAGGGAGGAAGGCUCUUGGGUCGUAAACCUCUUUUCUCAAGGAAGAAGAAAGUGACGGUACUUGAGGAAUAAGCAUCGGCUAACUCCGUGCCAGCAGCCGCGGUAAUACGGAGGAUGCAAGCGUUAUCCGGAAUGAUUGGGCGUAAAGGGUCUGCAGGUGGAACUGAAAGUCUGCUGUUAAAGAGUUUGGCUUAACCAAAUAAAAGCGGUGGAAACUACAGAACUAGAGUGUGGUAGGGGCAAAAGGAAUUCCUGGUGUAGCGGUGAAAUGCGUAGAUAUCAGGAAGAACACCGGUGGCGAAAGCGUUUUGCUAGACCAUAACUGACACUGAGGGACGAAAGCUAGGGGAGCGAAUGGGAUUAGAUACCCCAGUAGUC
rnacentral:rRNA from 1 species